GUGGCAAGUUGAUUUCAAUACCUGAUUGAUUGAUAGCUGUUGCCUAGAAAGAAGGCUGUGUAGAAAAGGAUUUUGAGGUUGCACCUGGGCUCAGUGGGAAAGAAGGCUGCGGUUGAUUGGGACUGCUCUCACUAAAGGGACCAAGGAAGAUGAGGAGGAUGGUGCAAUGAGUGGAGUAGACCAGCUUUGCCUGCUGUCCUCUGUGGAUUCAAGGUGACAAAACUGAGGCUCAGAGGCCAAUGGCCUUGUUCAAGGUCACACGCCCACUAAAUGAGAGACCCGGAGACCUGGCAUCACACGUACCAAAAAUUAAAAGCAAAGAUGCUUAAAUCAACUGCAGUCCUUCUGGGCAGAUGUUCCUAAAUGCAAUCCAUCUAAGAGGAAAGAGUUUUUGAGGGAAGGGUGAUCACUGGGCCUCUACAUGCCACACCCGGAAGGCCCAGCAGUGGGGCAAGGAUAGAACACACAGUUUGGCGAUGUGACCCUGCCUGUCUGCACACCUCAGGAUCCCACCACCCAACAGGCAUACAUCUCCUGGAGCUACAGAGAUGCCAAAUGCCAGAGAAGGGAAGCAGGAAGGGAGAUGAAGACAAGGAACUCUGAAAAAUGGAAGCAGAAACACAGGCUGUAUUUUCCCCUAUCCUUCUUUUCUUUGUUCCCUUUUUUCUCUUUUGAAUGAAAAAUAAAAAUGCAGAAAACCUCAGGA
rnacentral:lncRNA from 10 species